CCUACGGGCGGCUGCAGUGGGGAAUAUUGGACAAUGGGCGAAAGCCUGAUCCAGCCAUGUCGCGUGUGUGAAGAAGGCCUUCGGGUUGUAAAGCACUUUCAGUGGGGAAGAAAGCCUUGGGGCUAAUACCCUCGAGGAAGGACAUCACCCACAGAAGAAGCACCGGCUAACUCCGUGCCAGCAGCCGCGGUAAUACGGAGGGUGCGAGCGUUAAUCGGAAUUACUGGGCGUAAAGCGCGCGUAGGCGGUCUGAUAAGCCGGUUGUGAAAGCCCCGGGCUCAACCUGGGAACGGCAUCCGGAACUGUCAGGCUAGAGUGCAGGAGAGGAAGGUAGAAUUCCCGGUGUAGCGGUGAAAUGCGUAGAGAUCGGGAGGAAUACCAGUGGCGAAGGCGGCCUUCUGGACUGACACUGACGCUGAGGUGCGAAAGCGUGGGUAGCGAACAGGAUUAGAUACCCUAGUAGUC
rnacentral:rRNA from 1 species